ensembl:lncRNA
CUUUUACGUCGGGACUCAAGGGUUUGUUAGGUUGUGCUAGGUAAGUAGGCGCCGCGGGCGGUUGUCCGAGCGAACCUGGGUGGCGCAGUUUAGGUUGUGGGGCUGCAGUACGGUUGAAGAGGCUUCAGAAAUUUGAACUUAAGAGUGCUGUGUUGAAAACUUGCACGUGGGAAACAUGCCACCAGACCGCCACGUGUCCAUAGUCGUGGUGGUGGCCGGCUUCGAGUUUAUGCGUGCGGAGGCCGCCUCUGGUGGCCGCGGCGUUGCGCGCGGCCUUGUUGCUAAGCCCGGGGAGCUAGCUGGCUCAACUUAAACGACUGCCGGAAAGCAACCAUAUCCCUGGGAUUUGGGGCUAGGGGUUAGUGUUGACGUUAAGAGCAAAACGCCUUGUUGAUAGGGUGUCCGUCCCACCACCAGAUCCAGCGGAGAUUUCAAGAUCCGCAGCCCCUAACUACGUGGGGCUGAGCUGUAUUGUCCCCAGGCGGCGCUGUGUGCAAAUCGUAUUGAAGGAGAGGAUUUUAGUGCUGAAAUUCUCCGAGACUACUUAAUUUUAAAUAUAUUGAUUUGCCCCGCAGGAGCGAUGGCUCUCGGUGUAACGGAGCUCUUAAGUGAAGAUGCUGAGAGGAAAAGGAAGAGUGCAAAACAUAGGGGAGAAUGUUUGCUGGAAAACGACAUGGUUAAAACCUAAUGAUCUUAGCAGCAUCCUGCAGGUUGUUGAUUGCUAAUGAAGUUAUGGAUAUCUCUGAUGGCAGCGUCAUUCUGAAUGAGGGGUCGCUGUCUGCCUAUUGAAAGAGGCCAGAUUGCUGUGAAGUUCCUGAGAUAUUUCUGGCUAAUGCCACAAGAUUUACCGGUAUGUCGUGUGAAAAACUAAGGAAAAGCUCUUCAUUUUAUGGAUAUGGAAAGAAAAAUCAAGAUGGAUUAUAUUUUUUUUAAUUAUCCAGUCUUUAAUUAGUUAAGUAAAACUAGUUAAACUUUUUAAAAUCAAUUUUGAAUGAAUACCCUUUGGUUACAAGCUGUUUGAAUGUAAAAUGCGUCAUGGUGAUUAUAGCCAAAUGAAGGUUUUUACUAUUAUAGAAAGUUAUUAAGAUGAGAGCAGAGUGGACAGAACAUAUUCCUGGGAUUGGGCUGGAAAGAAAGCCCACCAUCAAUAAUCUUUACUGGCUGAAUUAUGGAAUAUUUAGUCUUAGUGUAACAGUAUUGUGUAUUUAUUUAUGGUAUUAAGGUGUUUAUUCUGAAAACGAAGAAAGCACAAUAUAGCAAGUCAUGAGGAAGGUCACUGAUGAAAUGUAGUUUAAAAUUGUACAGACAUCCUGAAUGAAUUUAAGUGUUAAGUAAUUAAUACCAUCUGAUGUAACCAAGGUGGUUGGGCCCCAUGCAUAAUCAUUUUCCCUAAAUAGCUACAUGAAUAAAUUUUUCCCAAUCCAAGUAAGAAUGCCAAUAUUUAUAGUCAUCAUUAAUAAACCUAAAAUUUCCUUAGUGAAAAUUUGGAUCCCACGCAUGCAGCUCAGGGAGAGGUUUAUGAAACUGAUAAGGCUGUAGUUGAAUACUUUCCCAAGUAUCAAAACAGUAUACAAAAUAGCAUCUCUGGGAAUGUUUCCUUGGCAGCCAUAAACUACCCAUGUGUUGCAUUUAUUACAUGUAUUUAACAUUGCAGUCUACGCUCUUAUGACUGAUCUCCCUUACCCUGCUUUAUUUGGAAUAUAUAUUCUAGAAGACCUGUUUCAAACACAGACAUCCUAAGUACAUAGAAACCUUAAAUAUCUGGCUCUUGGUUAGAACAAAGAAUGGAUGGUAAUUUUACCCAAAAAAUAUAGUGAUCAAAGAUAAAUUGGUACCCACACAAAACUUUAAGGGGAAAAAAAUACAUUUCUCUAAAACCUCAGUUAAUGUACAUUACUGCACCGUGCAUUGUGUACAACAGUUGUACACAAUGCCAAGAGAAAAGGCAAAGUACAGGAAACAAGAACAGUGCAGAAUAAGGAUGUUAAAGUGAUACAUUUGGGCAUAUGAAACACUAACCAAAGAUAUGCUUCAGAAUUGGAUCCCCAAAGGUACAAUUCCAAUGGAACUUGAAAGCUCAACAUAGAAGUUUCCAUUAAGAUUACUAAUUGAUUCAAACCUAUUACUAAACAAGGUGUACUAAUGUCAUGAUGGUGUCUUUCACACAGCACAGAUAUACUUAAUUGGUAAUAUAUAAAAAAUAAGACAACUAAAUAAGACCAGGGACCUUAAGCUGUUACCUGUGUAAGGGAUUUAAACUUCCAGAACCAAUCUGCAACUUAAUGGACUUAGUGGAGAUCCUAAAAUGUACGGAUCUGCUGUUUGGACUGGUUUUGUGAUAAACAUAUAGAACACAGUCUACAUUUGUGUGAUGUUACUGACUAGCCAGUAAGAAUUUUCUCUCUGCUUUACACCAUUCUUUCUGAUUGCAUUAAACAGUAGGCUCAAUCCUA